rnacentral:tRNA from 1 species
GGGGCGUUCGUCUAGCGGACAGGACGCUGGCUUCUCAAGCCGGAAGCAGGGGUUCGAUUCCCCUACGCCUCACCA